AUGAUAUACCAGUUCAGGGGUGGUCUCAGAGAAGAAAUUCAGCUAGCUCUUGUUCUCUUUGAGCCCUUGAGGUACGAUGAGUUCUACAACAUGGCAUUGAAGCAAGAGGCCGCUCAACUGAGGUGUGAUGCUUCCAAGAAGCGAGUCAGAGACACUACUCCUUCUUCCUCUACUCAAGUGGCCAAGCAGCAGAAGUAUUGGCUUCCUCCUCCUCCGUUCCGUCAGCCGUAUCGGCAGAAGAGCAAAGGUGGCAGUGGAUCUUCCCACCCACCCAACCCUGGCUUUCAGAACAAGACUUCGUCUCAAGCUCCAAGAUCGAGUGCUCCAUACCACCGUCCGCUUUCAGAGGUCACGUGCAACAAGUGCCAACAGAAGGGUCACUAUGCCAACAAGUGUCUCAACCAGAGGCGUCUUCCUCCUCCUCUUCCUGUGAGAUCGGCAAGUACAGCUGUGGUCAAGCAUAACCCCAAGCACGCCAAGGUCAACUUGAUGAACGCAGCUCAGGCAGAGGACUCAUCAGAAGUGAUCAUGGGUAACCUUCUUGUUAACGAUAUCCCUGCAAAAGUUCUUUUUGACACUAGUGCAUCGCAUUGUUUUAUUUCCAAACCUUUUGCAUCGAAGUAUGAGUGCGAUUAUCAGUAUCUGCAAAAUUCCUUGCAAAUCGUGUCACUGGGCAAGCAAAUGACAGCUAAUUUAUGCGUCCUGGAUAUUACUAUCACGUUGGGCGACUACAAAUUUCUAGCUUCUCCUAUUGUUCUGGGUGACUCAGAUAUUGAUCUUAUUCUC
rnacentral:rRNA from 1 species